GGCCAAGCAGACAAGGAUGGGCUCGCCUGCGUACAG
rnacentral:sRNA from 1 species